UACGUAGGGUGCGAGCGUUAAUCGGAAUUACUGGGCGUAAAGUGUGCGCAGGCGGCCGAGCAAGUCGAGUGUGAAAGCCCCGAGCCUAACUUGGGAACUGCGCUCGAAACUACUUGGCUAGAGUGUGGCAGAGGGAGGUGGAAUUCCACGUGUAGCGGUGAAAUGCGUAGAGAUGAUGGAGGAACACCGAUGGCGAAGGCAGCCUCCUGGGCCAACACUGACGCUCAUGCACGAAAGCGUGGGGAGCAAACAGG
rnacentral:rRNA from 1 species